AUGUGGAGGUGGUCCUGCGGCGCCGAUGCCCUCCCCAGCUGCCGGUGGCGGCACUUUUUGUUCGUGCCCAAGCGCUCGGUGAGGUCACCUCUCACCUCCCUCCUAUGGUGCCACCGCCCCAAGCCCCCAACCCAUUUGCAGCUCCCUCUUCCCCACUCCCAGGGUUGCAGAUCUGAGCGGGACAAGGUCCCUUCGGCCUUGGUGGUUUGGAACAAGGCGUGCGGCCUCUACUCCCUUAACUUCUGGAUACUAGGGGCACGGGUCAAACAAACUUUCAUAGGUUUGGUGGAUGUUUGGGCAAUUACUCAACUACUAACAAAAGGCCACUGGAUGAUUUUUAUACCUGCAUCACAUCAAGUGGAUUUGGAUAGAACACAAGCUGGCAUGGUCUUCAUCGUGGAUUCAAUCUCCACACGAGUGGAGUGGCCUCUGACUUGUGCCGCAGCUGCGGACGGGCAGAGGAGACGACGACCAUUAUACAUGAUUAAUGCUUUGAUGCUGUACAUGAAUCUGAAACAAGAGGAAGAACCGAGGAUUCUUCAAGAAGCUUCUUCUAUUCGUGCACAAUGGCGUCGUAGUCAAGGUUCAAUCGACACAUGGUGUGUAAGCAUUGCCUAUCUACCUAAAGGGUAUGCAGGAGCGUUGCCAACAUCAAUGUGCUUUGUGCUGCAGAAAUGGAUUUUCAAAAACCUCCAGCACAUGGUGUCCUGGGAAUUCCUGGAUAUGUCGACCUGCUAG
rnacentral:rRNA from 1 species